UACGGGGGGGGCAAGCGUUGUUCGGAAUUACUGAGCGUAAAGGGCUCGUAGGCGGCCGACUAAGUCAUACGUGAAAUCCCUCGGCUUAACCGGGGAACUGCGUCUGAUACUGGAUGGCUUGAGUUCGGGAGAGGGAUGCGGAAUUCCAGGUGUAGCGGUGAAAUGCGUAGAUAUCUGGAGGAACACCGGUGGCGAAGGCGGCAUCCUGGACCGAUACUGACGCUGAGGAGCGAAAGCCAGGGGAGCAAACGGG
rnacentral:rRNA from 1 species